GUGGGGAAUAUUUGACAAUGGGCGAAAGCCUGAUCCAGCCAUGCCGCGUGUGUGAAGAAGGUCUUCGGAUUGUAAAGCACUUUAAGUUGGGAGGAAGGGCAGUAAGUUAAUACCUUGCUGUUUUGACGUUACCGACAGAAUAAGCACCGGCUAACUUCGUGCCAGCAGCCGCGGUAAUACGAAGGGUGCAAGCGUUAAUCGGAAUUACUGGGCGUAAAGCGCGCGUAGGUGGUUUUGUAAGUUGGAGGUGAAAUCCCCCGGCUCAACCUGGGAACUGCCUCCAAAACUGCAUGACUAGAGUACGGUAGAGGGUAGUGGAAGUUCCUGUGUAGCGGUGAAAUGCGUAGAUAUAGGAAGGAACACCAGUGGCGAAGGCGACUACCUGGACUGAUACUGACACUGAGGUGCGAAAGCGUGGGGAGCAAACAGGAUUAGAAACCCGAGUAGUCC
rnacentral:rRNA from 1 species